rnacentral:rRNA from 1 species
GUAAAGCACUUCAGUAGGGAGGAAGGUAGUGUAGUUAACACCUGCAUUAUUUGACGUUACCUACAGAAGAAGCACCGGCUAACUCCGUGCCAGCAGCCGCGGUAAUACGGAGGGUGCGAGCGUUAAUCGGAAUUACUGGGCGUAAAGCGCAUGCAGGCGGCCUGUUAAGUCAGAUGUGAAAGACCCGGGGCGUUAACCUCGGAAUUGCAUUUGUAAACUGGCAGGCUAGAGUCUUGUAGAGGGGGGUAGGAAUUUCAGGUGUAGCGGUGAAAUAGCGUAGAGAUCUGAAGGAAUACCAGUGGCGAAGGCGGCCCCCUCGGACAAAGACUGACGCUCAGAUGCGAAAGCGUGGGGAGCAAACAGGAUUAGAUACCCUGGUAG